GUGCAAACUUCAGUCUUGGCAACCCCAAAGGCAUUGCUAUCACUUGUGUGCUUUCAGUUUGCUUUUUGCCAGCAUCCUGGAGGCAGGUACAGGAGAAACACGUGUUGAGCUGUGCCUCUCCUGCCUCUUUCAGCACCCCCUGCUCUGACGUGGACUGUACCUGCUGAGAGCAAGGCAGCGCCCGAAAAACAUCAGGGAAUCAGGUUACAUGAGAUCCUUCCAGCUUCGGGUGAUUAACUCACUCCAUUUCAUAGAACUGGGACGCUUUUGAAGAAAACCCAAUGGAAUACACACACACAAGUCACUGGCAAUCAGCGAAGCAGUAGCAGCUCAUGGAGCUGCCCUUCACAAACCUUGAACUAGCUUUCAUCUUGCUGGCUUUUGUCAUUUUCACCUUGUUUACCCUGGCUUCUAUCUACAGUGGCUCCUAUGACAACAAAGAAGAGGAAAGCUACACACGGGAAGAAUACAAGAAAAGGAGCAAAUCCAACAAGAAAAAGAAGCGUUCAAACAUGACUGAAGUGGUUUAGAGUGUUGCCCAAGUCCAGUGUUGGAAACACCUCUGGAAGAGGUAUCCCUGGGAGCUGGUCACCUGAAGACAGUGAAAAAACGGAUGUGAGAAAGGAAGGACCUGGUCAUCCAUCAGAUGGAAUCCAGACGUGACAAUUAGAGUUAAUGAACCACGACCCAUGAAGCUGCUUCAGCGCCUUUUUACAGCCCCACUUCAUGGCCUUCAUAAAAGUACCAGGGCUUAUUUUACAGAGCACAUCUGCUCUAAAUUCCCAAAGGAGAAACUUACAUUCAGAAGUUAUUUUUGUUUCUUCAACACCUCCCAGUCAUUUAUAAAGAAUAUUUAACAGCAAUGCAUUUACUUUUCUACCUGUUCAGUCAACAGAAUAUCAGAAUUUGAAGAUAAUUUAUAUUUUUUUUUCAAUAAAACAAGAUUAUUAUAAUAGUUAUUUAGUUUG
rnacentral:lncRNA from 1 species